rnacentral:rRNA from 1 species
AGUGAACGCUGGCGGCAGGCCUAACACAUGCAAGUCGAACGAGUGGCGGACGGGUGAGGAAUACAUCGGAAUCUACUCUAUCGUGGGGGAUAACGUAUGGAAACUUACGCUAAUACCGCAUACGAUUGAAUGAACCCAUGUCGGAUUAGCUAGUUGGCGGGGUAAAGGCCCACCAAGGCGACGAUCCCUAGCUGGGCUGAGAGGAUGAUCAGCCACACUGGAAGUGAGACACGGUCCAGACUCCUACGGGAGGCAGCAGUGGGGAAUAUUGGACAAUGGGCGCAAGCCUGAUGCAGCCAUACCGCGUGGGUGAAGAAGGCCUUCGGGUUGUAAAGUACUUUAAGUUGGGAGGCGUUACCAACAGAAGAAGCACCGGCUAACUUCGUGCCAGCAGCCGCGGUAAUAC